rnacentral:rRNA from 5 species
GUUGGUGAACCAGCGGAGGGAUCAUU